ACUGGGCUGGGAUAGCUCCAAGAGACAAAGGAAAGGGCAUGGUGGCUGCUUCUGUCACCCUCACCUGACAUGCCUUCCCCUCUAGUGGCUUGCUGUAGGGCCAGAGAGUGUGAGUGCCCACUAGAACCUUCGGCUUCAUCUCUUGAUUGCUGAUGGGGGCAAGAACAACAGAAAGCAGCCUGCACUGAGCUUCGACUUGCAUUCUUCUGGAGCUCUUUGCUGCUGUCUUCCUGGAAUCUGCUUAUGUCUCACCUGGGGCAACAAUUCAGACCGGGCCAUCUGUGAAAAUUCAGGAGCUGAGCCAACUGGGGACUGAAAAAAUUCAGAGAGAGAGAACCAUGAAAGUCAAGGGCAUUGUAAGGAUGAAUUUAGAACCUCCAAUGACAGCAGGCCCUCAUUUGGAUGCUUGGAUUCUAAAAUGUUUGCUAAAAGUUGUCCCAGCACUAGAAGACAUUCUAAGCCCAAGCUUAUUCCAAGUCUUGCAAGGACAUUGAAGUUGAUGCAGCUUUCUGGCCCAGAUGGACCUGGGGAAGAACCAAGUAGGAUACUGAGUCUGUGUGGGGAUGCUGGCCAGGGUCCUGAGUCCAGAAGACUGUCCCGCUGGCUCAGAUUGGUGUGCCUCCCAGCAGAUCUUUAAGUAGGUGGAAUAGUUCACCAAAUUCAGUAAGAGAGACUGGAGUUUGAGACUGAGAUUCUCCCAGGAUCUUCUGUGGGAAGGAGGCUGAUGGGCUUAUCUUUUUGGCUAAGAUGGACGUGCAUCACCCAGCAGGUCUCUGCACCAGUGGUGUAAUUCCUCAACUUCAAAAGGAGGAGCAAAAUCUGAGACUAUACUCUCCCAGGAUCUACUGUGAAAUGGAGGCUGCUGUGCCUAUCACACUGGCUCAAGUGGGCAUGUGUCUCCCAGCAGGUCCUUGCACAAAUGGAAAGUUUUCCAACUGCAGCAGGAGAGGCUACAGAAUAGACUGGGCUCCCAUGGGAUCUACUGUGGGACAGAGGCUGAAGAAGCUGGUCUUGGCUCAGAGGAAUGUGUGUAACCCAACAAGUUUCUGCACAGGUAGGAUAGUUCCCUGGCUGAAAAAGAAGGGGCCAGCAGGUGGUAGAAAAAGAAUACAGCACAUCAUCAGGAAUUAGUUUAAACUGGGACGUGGAUGAAGCUGGAAACUAUCAUUUGCAGCAAAGUAUCACAAGAACAGAAAACCAAACACCACAUGUUCUCACUCAUAAGUGGGAGGUGAACAACGAGAACGCAUGGACACCGGGAGGAGAACAUCACACACUGGGGCCUGUCGGGGGAUGGGGGGACUAGGGGAGGGAUAGCAUUAGGAGAAAUACCUUAUGUAGGUGACGGAUUGAUGGGUGCAGCAAACCACCAUGGCACGUGUAUACCUAGGUAACAAAACUGCACAUUCUGCACUUGUGCCCCAGAACUUAAAAUGUAAUUUAAAAAAAGAGAGAGAGAGAAAAAAAGAACUGGCUGCACAUCAGAGAUAUUUAGGUUUGGAUUCUGGCUCUCAGAGGUCACUAUGGAUGUGAACGUAUUUAUACAUUUCUACUGUG